rnacentral:rRNA from 1 species
UCGAGCGGUAAGGCCCUUCGGGGUACACGAGCGGCGAACGGGUGAGUAACACGUGGGUGAUCUGCCUCGCACUCUGGGAUAAGCCUGGGAAACUGGGUCUAAUACCGGAUAUGAACAUGGUCUGCAUGGAUUGUGUUGGAAAGGUUUACUGGUGCGAGAUGGGCCCGCGGCCUAUCAGCUUGUUGGUGGGGUAACGGCCUACCAAGGCGACGACGGGUAGCCGACCUGAGAGGGUGACCGGCCACACUGGGACUGAGACACGGCCCAGACUCCUACGGGAGGCAGCAGUGGGGAAUAUUGCACAAUGGGCGAAAGCCUGAUGCAGCGACGCCGCGUGAGGGAUGACGGCCUUCGGGUUGUAAACCUCUUUCGACAGGGACGAAGCGCAAGUGACGGUACCUGUAGAAGAAGCACCGGCCAACUACGUGCCAGCAGCCGCGGUAAUACGUAGGGUGCGAGCGUUGUCCGGAAUUACUGGGCGUAAAGAGCUUGUAGGCGGUCUGUCACGUCGAUUGUGAAAACUUGGGGCUCAACUCCAAGCUUGCAGUCGAUACGGGCAGACUAGAGUACUUCAGGGGAGACUGGAAUUCCUGGUGUAGCGGUGAAAUGCGCAGAUAUCAGGAGGAACACCGGUGGCGAAGGCGGGUCUCUGGGAAGUAACUGACGCUGAGAAGCGAAAGCGUGGGUAGCGAACAGGAUUAGAUACCCUGGUAGUCCACGCCGUAAACGGUGGGUACUAGGUGUGGGUUUCCUUCCACGGGAUCCGUGCCGUAGCUAACGCAUUAAGUACCCCGCCCUGGGGAGUACGGCCGCAAGGCUAAAACUCAAAGGAAUUUGACGGGGGCCCGCACAAGCGGCGGAGCAUGUUGAUUAAUUUCGAUGCAACGCGAAGAACCUUACCUGGGUUUGACAUACACCGGAAAGCCAUAGAGAUAUGGCCCCCCUUGUGGUCGGUGUACAGGUGGUGCAUGGCUGUCGUCAGCUCGUGUCGUGAGAUGUUGGGUUAAGUCCCGCAACGAGCGCAACCCUUAUCUUAUGUUGCCAGCGCGUAAUGGCGGGGACUCGUGAGAGACUGCCGGGGUCAACUCGGAGGAAGGUGGGGACGACGUCAAGUCAUCAUGCCCCUUAUGUCCAGGGCUUCACACAUGCUACAAUGGCCGGUACAGAGGGCUGCGAUACCGUGAGGUGGAGCGAAUCCCUUAAAGCCGGUCUCAGUUCGGAUCGGGGUCUGCAACUCGACCCCGUGAAGUUGGAGUCGCUAGUAAUCGCAGAUCAGCAACGCUGCGGUGAAUACGUUCCCGGGCCUUGUACACACCGCCCGUCACGUCAUGAAAGUCGGUAACACCCGAAGCCGGUGGCCUAACCCUUGUGG